UGAUGCAGCGACGCCGCGUGAGGGAUGACGGCCUUCGGGUUGUAAACCUCUUUCAGCAGGGAAGAAGCGAGAGUGACGGUACCUGCAGAAGAAGCGCCGGCUAACUACGUGCCAGCAGCCGCGGUAAUACA
rnacentral:rRNA from 1 species